GUAGGCCAGAGGGUAGCUGCAGCAGCUGACCCAGCGGCUGGAGUAGGGACAGUAGUGACUCCGCUGCCCCGUGUGAUCCCCUACCCAGACUCCUUGCAGAUACUCCUGCCCCUGGCCACCACUCGCUGGCCGACCUUCAGGUUUCCCUGAACCCCCGGCUGACCACGCCUUGACCGCUUCUGUCGUAGCCCUUCUGGAAUGUGGUGGCGCUCCAUCUUAUGCUCAUGGUGGUGAGAGUUGUCGACCAGUGGAUCAAAAGAAGACAUAACUCCCUUGUUGGGAGGUAAAGGCAAGAGGAUCAGAAGUCCAAGGUCAUCCUCAGCUUCAUAGUGGACAUUAGACCUGCCUGGGCCACAUAAAAUCCUGUUAAGAAAACAAAAC